rnacentral:ncRNA from 1 species
GGCCAACCUUCGGGGGGGCUUUUACCAUGGGCGGGGAAACUCGUCGAACACACAAACGGAAGUCAGAAA